rnacentral:rRNA from 1 species
UACGUAGGGUGCAAGCGUUAAUCGGAAUUACUGGGCGUAAAGCGUGCGCAGGCGGUUCGUUGUGUCGGUGGUGAAAGCCCCGGGCUUAACCCUGGGAAUGGCCAUGGAAACUGGCGAACUGGAGUGUGGCAGAGGGGGGUGGAAUUCCGCGGUGUAGCAGUGAAAUGCGUAGAGAUGCGGAGGAACACCGAUGGCGAAGGCAGCCCCCUGGGCUAGCACUGACGCUCAGGCACGAAAGCGUGGGGAGCAAACAGG